GUCAAUUACAAGCGUGGACUUGACAAUAACUCACAAGAUUUCUGCAAGUAACUUGACCGUGGCUGGAGCUCACCGCCAAAAGAUCAAGACGGCAGCGAAACUAUUUUCGCAUACUGUGGCGCAGACCAUAACAAGGGCAGCAAGUCUGGGUCAUUUGCAGAACCAAAACUGAACCGAAUGCUUGCAGUUAUUCAAAACAACAAAUUACUGGUUUGACAUUUUAAACGUCAGGGUGCCUCACGCCGACUCCAGGAACGCUGUCUUGCUUACGGUUUAGCGAUCGAGGAACAAAACAAGAUCCUAAGCGAGAUGAUCGAACUAGUCAAAAAUAUGAGGGUGCUUGGCAAAUUUAGUCUGCUGCCAUUCCAAAAAGGAAUCAUUCAAAGUAAUACGGCGUUGAAGUUGUAUCGACUGAACCAAGACGUACUCGAAAAUUUCUUCGGGAUUAUUCGGUAAAAAGGCGGGUUACAUGGUCACCCUGACCAAUAGGAGUUCAAGUACCGUCUGCGACUAUACCUGCUAAGACACAACAGGGGCGUAUUAUUUGAUUCUGCUAAUGUAGAAGAGGAUGAUACGCCAGACAUAGAAAUCACGCAGCCUCCGCUUACA
rnacentral:lncRNA from 1 species